GGCUUAGUGGUCUAGUGGUAUGAUUCCUGCUUCGGGUUGUACCCUUCCAUCUUACGUGGGAAUGCAGGAGGCCCCGGGUUCGAAUCCCGGCUGAGCCC